rnacentral:rRNA from 1 species
AUUGAACGCUGGCGGCAUGCCUUACACAUGCAAGUCGAACGGCAGCACGGGUGCUUGCACCUGGUGGCGAGUGGCGAACGGGUGAGUAAUGCAUCGGAACAUGUCCUGUAGUGGGGGAUAGCCCGGCGAAAGCCGGAUUAAUACCGCAUACGAUCUACGGAUGAAAGCGGGGGACCUUCGGGCCUCGCGCUAUAGGGUUGGCCGAUGGCUGAUUAGCUAGUUGGUGGGGUAAAGGCCUACCAAGGCGACGAUCAGUAGCUGGUCUGAGAGGACGACCAGCCACACUGGGACUGAGACACGGCCCAGACUCCUACGGGAGGCAGCAGUGGGGAAUUUUGGACAAUGGGCGAAAGCCUGAUCCAGCAAUGCCGCGUGUGUGAAGAAGGCCUUCGGGUUGUAAAGCACUUUUGUCCGGAAAGAAAUCCUUGGCCCUAAUACGGUCGGGGGAUGACGGUACCGGAAGAAUAAGCACCGGCUAACUACGUG